rnacentral:SRP_RNA from 1 species
GCCGGGCGCGGUGGCACAUGCCCGUAGUUCCAGCUACUUGGGAGGCUGAAGUGGGAGGAUUGCUUGAGCCCAGGAGUUCUGGGCUGUAGUGCGCUAUGCCGACCGGGUGUCUGCACCAAGGUCGGCAUCAAUAUGGUGACCUCCCGGGAGCGGGGGACCACCAGGUUGCCUAAGGAGGGGUGGACUGGCCCAGGUCAGAAAUGGAACAGGUCAAAACUCCCGUGCUGAUCAGUAGUGGGAGCACGCCUGUGAAUAGCCACUGCACUCCAGCGUGGGCAACAUAGGGAGACCCCGUCUCU